rnacentral:rRNA from 1 species
CUGCUGCCUCCCGUAGGAGUUUGGGCCGUGUCUCAGUCCCAAUGUGGCCGUUCACCCUCUCAGGCCGGCUACUGAUCGUUGCCUUGGUAGGCCAUUACCCCACCAACUAGCUAAUCAGACGCGGAACCAUCGUAUACCACCAGAGUUUUUCACACCGCUUCAUGCGAAGCUGUGCGCUUAUGCGGUAUUAGCGCCUAUUUCUAAGUGUUAUCCCCCAGUAUACGGCAGGUUUUCCACGCGUUACUCACCCGUCCGCCA